GCCGGCGUAGCUCAGUCGGUAGAGCAAGUGUUUUGUAAACACUGGGUCGGGGGUUCGAUUCCUCUCGCCGGCU
rnacentral:tRNA from 1 species